rnacentral:rRNA from 1 species
UACGAAGGGGGCUAGCGUUGUUCAGAAUUACUGGGCGUAAAGCGCACGUAGGCGGAUACUUAAGUUAGGGGUGAAAUCCCAGGGCUCAACCCUGGAACUGCCUUUAAUACUGGGUAUCUUGAGUUCGAGAGAGGUGAGUGGAAUUCCGAGUGUAGAGGUGAAAUUCGUAGAUAUUCGGAGGAACACCAGUGGCGAAGGCGGCUCACUGGCUCGAUACUGACGCUGAGGUGCGAAAGCGUGGGGAGCAAACAGG